UACGGAGGGGGGCUAGCGUUGUUCGGAAUUACUGGGCGUAAAGGGCGCGUAGGCGGCCCGCUAAGUCGAACGUGAAAUCCCCGAGCUCAACUCGGGAACUGCGUCCGAUACUGGUGGGCUUGAAUCCGGGAGAGAGAUGCGGAAUUCCAGGUGUAGCGGUGAAAUGCGUAGAUAUCUGGAGGAACACCGGUGGCGAAGGCGGCAUCCUGGACCAAUAUUGACGCUGAGGAGCGAAAGCCAGGGGAGCAAACGGG
rnacentral:rRNA from 1 species